rnacentral:tRNA from 1 species
AAAAAUUUAGUUAAAAUAAUAACAUUGACUUGUCAAGUCAAAAUUAUCAAUAGAUAAUUUUUU